AAAGAUUCCCAAGUUGAGCAGGGAUGGGGCCUGUGAGAUUUAAGCUUGAAAUAUUCAAGACUGUGACUCUAUGGCUAUGGAGAUCACAAGUGACGCCUGUCCAAUUACAGAAACAGAUACUCGUGUUCCAAUUUUUGGCGAAGAAAUUGGUUGGAUCAUGAGUUAUGUGAGCUUUCAGGGCAAGCAGAGCAUCUCGGUCUGUGGUAAUAGUACUUGUGUUGGCUGUUGCAGUUGUGAUAAAUAAGAAAAUAAGAAUCAAACAAUGGAGUAAGAGAAAUCUGCUCAUCAUACUGAGAGAAUGAACUCUUUCCAUGAGAUGAGAGUAUUUUAGAUUGUAAGUCUGUGCUUAAUUGGAUUGGUAAUGCCGAGUCACUCAUAAGUUUGUUAUAUACCGAGUUUUUAUAGUGAAACCAAAAUUUCUAAGGAGAAAAAGACCGGCAUGCGUUAGGCUUGACCUCGGUCACCAAAAGUCUAUCCUUUGUGAUACUUUCCAAAAGUCUAUGAUUUUAGAAUUAAUUUAAUUAUUGGAAAAUGGAAAGUAAUUUUUUUUUCUAUAAUAAGCCCGUGACUUUUGUUUUUCUUUAUAACCAUUUUUGCAUUGGAUAGUGAUAUUUUAAUUUCCUAUGAUCAAACCUUCUAUUCUCACGAAUUUUAUACAAAUUUCGAGUAACGAAUUUCACAAUUCUAUUAGAAAUUUUAUUCUCGUGAAUUUGGAGCAAAUAUCGUCAACGGAUAUAAUAUUAAAUUUUAGCAUUUACAGACGGAAGGAGAGAUUAUUACUUUGAUUAAAAAGAUUAAUUUAAAAUGUUAAAUUCUUAAAUUAUGUAGGAAGAGGAGCGAUUUUUUUUUAUUUUUUUUUGUAAAUAUGAUUGUCAAAUUUUUAUCAAAAAAUACUUUUAUUCAUUCAAAAAAGAAAUUUUUAAAUCUUCUUUAUGUUAACAUGACAUAUAAUAAAUGCUACAUUCCUUGAAACUCAAAUUUUUGGAUAAAUUGAAAUUACUUUUCUGUAUUUUUUUCUUUUAAAUUUGAAAAAUUCACCAGUCCUAAAAAUUCAUAAAAGUAUUGGCUGUGGUGUAAGAAAGUUCUUUACGUGUCAGUAAGGGUGCCACAAGUUGACCGCACAUUGCCUAUGUCAAUUAAAGACUCCUUUUAUCGUAUGAAUUUAACAGUGCUCACUGGGACAACAGAUGUUGAUGUGUUUUUGCUUUUUGUUUGAUAGUUCAAGGCUUCAGCAGUGCCAUUAAGUAGUAUAACAAGACAGGUAGGAAUAGUUGAGAUUUAAGCUUGAAAUAUUCAAGACUGUGACUCUAUGGCUAUGGAGAUCACAAGUGACGCCUGUCCAAUUACAGAAACAGAUACUCGUGUUCCAAUUUUUGGCGAAGAAAUUGGUUGGAUCAUGAGUUAUGUGAGCUUUCAGGGCAAGCAGAGCAUCUCGGUCUGUGGUAAUAGUACUUGUGUUGGCUGUUGCAGUUGUGAUAAAUAAGAAAAUAAGAAUCAAACAAUGGAGUAAGAGAAAUCUGCUCAUCAUACUGAGAGAAUGAACUCUUUCCAUGAGAUGAGAGUAUUUUAGAUUGUAA
rnacentral:lncRNA from 1 species